AGAGUUUGAUCCUGGCUCAGGAUGAACGCUAGCUACAGGCUUAACACAUGCAAGUCGAGGGGCAGCAUGGAAGAAGCUUGCUUCUUCUGAUGGCGACCGGCGCACGGGUGCGUAACGCGUAUCAAACCUGCCUCAUACUCGGGGAUAGCCUUGCGAAAGUAAGAUUAAUACCCGAUGUUGUUGCUUUCUCGCAUGGGAGAGUAACCAAAGAUUUAUCGGUAUGAGAUGGUGAUGCGUCCGAUUAGGUAGUAGGCGGGGUAACGGCCCACCUAGCCUUCGAUCGGUAGGGGUUCUGAGAGGAAGGUCCCCCACACUGGAACUGAGACACGGUCCAGACUCCUACGGGAGGCAGCAGUGAGGAAUAUUGGUCAAUGGGCGAGAGCCUGAACCAGCCAAGUAGCGUGCAGGAUGACGGCCCUAUGGGUUGUAAACUGCUUUUGUAUGGGGAUAAAGUUAGGGACGUGUCCCUAUUUGCAGGUACCAUACGAAUAAGGACCGGCUAAUUCCGUGCCAGCAGCCGCGGUAAUACGGAAGGUCCAGGCGUUAUCCGGAUUUAUUGGGUUUAAAGGGAGCGUAGGCGGAUUGUUAAGUCAGCGGUUAAAGGGUGUGGCUCAACCAUGCAUUGCCGUUGAAACUGGCGAUCUUGAGUGCAGACAGGGAUGCCGGAAUUCGUGGUGUAGCGGUGAAAUGCUUAGAUAUCACGAAGAACUCCGAUCGCGAAGGCAGGUGUCCGGGCUGCAACUGACGCUGAGGCUCGAAAGUGUGGGUAUCAAACAGGAUUAGAUACCCUGGUAGUCCACACAGUAAACGAUGUAUACUCGCGGUUUGCGAUAGACAGUAAGCCGCCAAGCGAAAGCAUUAAGUAUACCACCUGGGGAGUACGCCGGCAACGGUGAAACUCAAAGGAAUUGACGGGGGCCCG
rnacentral:rRNA from 1 species